rnacentral:rRNA from 1 species
UACGGGGGGAGCAAGCGUUGUUCGGAUUUACUGGGCGUAAAGGGCGCGUAGGCGGUCAGCACAAGUCAGUUGUGAAAUCUCCGGGCUUAACUCGGAAAGGUCAACUGAUACUGUGCGACUAGAGUGCGGAAGGGGCAACUGGAAUUCUCGGUGUAGCGGUGAAAUGCGUAGAUAUCAGGAGGAACACCGGUGGCGAAGGCGGGUCUCUGGGCCGAUACUGACGCUGAGGAGCGAAAGCGUGGGGAGCAAACAGG